rnacentral:rRNA from 1 species
GACGAACGCUGGCGGCGUGCUUAACACAUGCAAGUCGAACGGUAAGGCCCUUCGGGGUACACGAGUGGCGAACGGGUGAGUAACACGUGGGUGAUCUGCCCUGCACUUCGGGAUAAGCCUGGGAAACUGGGUCUAAUACCGGAUAGGACUACUGCCUGCAGGGGGGGAGGUGGAAAUCUUUUGCGGGGUGGGAUGGGCCCGCGGCCUAUCAGCUUGUUGGUGGGGUGAUGGCCUACCAAGGCGACGAAGGGUAGCCGGCCUGAGAGGGUGACCGGCCAGACUGGGGCUGAGAUACGGCCCAGACUCCUACGGGAGGCAGCAGUGGGGAAUGUUGCACAAUGGGCGCAAGCCUGAUGCAGCGACGCCGCGUGAGGGAUGACGGCAUUCGGGUUGUAAACCUCUUUCAGCAUCGACGAAGCGCAAGUGACGGUAGGUGCAGAAGAAGGACCGGCCAACUACGUGCCAGCCGCCGCGGUAA